rnacentral:rRNA from 1 species
AUCUAAACUCUUGUUAAUUUUUGGCAUUCUGAAUCAUAACUAAGAAAUAAGUUAAAACUUUCAACAACGGAUCUCUUGGUUCUGGCAUCGAUGAAGAACGCAGCGAAAUGCSMUAAGUAAUGUGAAUUGCAGAAUUCAGUGAAUCAUCGAAUCUUUGAACGCACAUUGCGCCCAUUAGUAUUCUAGUGGGCAUGCCUGUUCGAGCGUCAUUUCAACCCUUAAGCCUAGCUUAGUGUUGGGAGACUGCCUAAUACGCAGCUCCUCAAAACCAGUGGCAGAGUUUUUACGUACUCUGAGCGCAGUAAUUCUAUUCUCGCUUCUGAAAACGUCUAGACGAUAGCCAAAAACCGCWUGYUUCGGCAGCACUUUUUAAUGGUUGACCUCGGAUCAGGUAGGAAUACCCGCUGAACUUAAGCAUAUCAAUAAGCGGAGGAA